rnacentral:rRNA from 1 species
CAUGGCUCAGAUUGAACGCUGGCGGCAGGCCUAACACAUGCAAGUCGAACGGAACCUUCGGGUUUAGUGGCGAACGGGUGAGUAAUGCCUAGGAAUCUGCCUAUUAGUGGGGGAUAACGAAUCGAAAGGUUCGCUAAUACCGCAUACGUCCUACGGGAGAAAGAGGGGGAUCUUCGGACCUCUUGCUAAUAGAUGAGCCUAGGUCGGAUUAGCUAGUUGGUGGGGUAAAGGCUCACCAAGGCGACGAUCUGUAGCUGGUCUGAGAGGAUGGCCAGCCACACUGGAACUGAGACACGGUCCAGACUCCUACGGGAGGCAGCAGUGGGGAAUAUUGGACAAUGGGCGCAAGCCUGAUCCAGCCAUGCCGCGUGUGUGAAGAAGGCCCUCGGGUUGUAAAGCACUUUAAGCGAGGAGGAAGGUCAUCAUACUAAUAUUAUGAUGAAUUGACGUUACUCGCAGAAUAAGCACCGGCUAACUCUGUGCCAGCAGCCGCGGUAAUACAG